rnacentral:pre_miRNA from 1 species
UUAACUAAAAUUUGUAUGUAGUUGGAAUUUUUGCCUACGUUUGCCGCUAGGGGCGCUGUUUCAACUACAUACUUUUAGUUA